CCUGAACAGCCAUGCCGCGUGAGUGAUGAGGCUUAGGGUUGUAAGCUCUUCACCUGAGAGAAAUGACCGUACUAGGAGAACAAGCCCUGGACAACUUCGAGCCAACAACCACGGUAAAACUAUGGGGGCUAGCGUUGUUCAGAUCUAAUGGGCCUAAAGUUCAUCUAAAUUGACGUUUGUAUAACGCGCGAAAUCCCAUAGCUCAACUCUGGAACAGACUUUGAUACUGGACCUCUGGACUGUGGUAGAGGUUAGUGGAAUUCCGAGUGUAAAAGUGAAAUUCAUUUAUAUUCGGAGGAACACCAUUGGCAAAUGCGGCUCAGUGCACCAUUACUGACGCUGAGGUGCUAAACCGUGGGGAGCAAACAGGAUUAAAUACCCUGGUAGUCCACGCCAUAAACUAUGAUGGUUAUCCGUCGGGUAGUUUACUGUUCGGUGGCGCAGCUAACGCAUUAAACUUUCCGCCUGGGGAGUACCGUCGCAAUAUUAAAACUCGAAAAAUUUUUCCCGGGGGUUUAAAACUCAAGGA
rnacentral:rRNA from 1 species